UACGGAGGGGGCAAGCGUUGUUCGGAGUUACUGGGCGUAAAGGGCGCGUAGGCGGCCUUCUAAGUCGAACGUGAAAUCCCCGGGCUCAACCCGGGAACUGCGUCCGAUACUGGAAGGCUUGAAUCCGGGAGAGGGAUGUGGAAUUCCAGGUGUAGCGGUGAAAUGCGUAGAUAUCUGGAGGAACACCGGUGGCGAAGGCGACAUCCUGGACCGGUAUUGACGCUGAGGCGCGAAAGCCAGGGGAGCAAACGGG
rnacentral:rRNA from 1 species